rfam:Camelus ferus unplaced genomic scaffold scaffold144, whole genome shotgun sequence.
GAGGGUAUAGCUCAGUGAUAGAGCGCAUGCUUAGCAUGCACACAGUCCUGGGUUCAAUCCCCAGUACUUCCA